UACGGAGGAUGCAAGCGUUAUCCGGAAUGAUUGGGCGUAAAGCGUCCGCAGGUGGCUAUGUAAGUCUGCUGUUAAAGAGUGAGGCUCAACCUCAUAAGAGCAGUGGAAACUACAUGGCUAGAGUGCGUUCGGGGCAGAGGGAAUUCCUGGUGUAGCGGUGAAAUGCGUAGAGAUCAGGAAGAACACCGGUGGCGAAAGCGCUCUGCUAGGCCGCAACUGACACUCAUGGACGAAAGCUAGGGAGCGAAUGGG
rnacentral:rRNA from 1 species